rnacentral:rRNA from 1 species
GACGAACGCUGGCGGCGUGCUUAACACAUGCAAGUCGAACGGAAAGGCCCUGCUUUUGUGGGGUGCUCGAGUGGCGAACGGGUGAGUAACACGUGAGUAACCUGCCCUUGACUUUGGGAUAACUUCAGGAAACUGGGGCUAAUACCGGAUAGGAGCUCCUGCUGCAUGGUGGGGGUUGGAAAGUUUCGGCGGUUGGGGAUGGACUCGCGGCUUAUCAGCUUGUUGGUGGGGUAGUGGCUUACCAAGGCUUUGACGGGUAGCCGGCCUGAGAGGGUGACCGGCCACAUUGGGGCUGAGAUACGGCCCAGACUCCUACGGGAGGCAGCAGUGGGGAAUAUUGCACAAUGGCGGAAGCCUGAUGCAGCAACGCCGCGUGCGGGAUGACGGCCUUCGGGUUGUAAACCGCUUUCGCCUGUGACGAAGCGUGAGUGACGGUAAUGGGUAAAGAAGCACCGGCUAACUACGUG